rnacentral:rRNA from 1 species
GAUUAAUUCUCACUGGGACUUUAAGUCCCCUAAAGAGCCGUUGAAGACUACAACGUUGAUAGGCUAGGUGUGUAAGCGCUGUGAGGCGUUGAGCUAACUAGUACUAAUUGCUCGUGAGGCUUGAUCAUAUAA